rnacentral:rRNA from 1 species
GUCCACAGCCACACCACCCUGAAUACCCCUGCUCUUGUCCUAUCUGGGAAGCUGAGCAGGGCAGGGCCUGGUUAGCGCUGGGAUG